AGACCCGAAACCCGGUGAUCUAGCCAUGGGCAGGUUGAAGGUUGGGUAACACUAACUGGAGGACCGAACCGACUAAUGUUGAAAAAUUAGCGGAUGACCUGUGGCUGGGGGUGAAAGGCCAAUCAAACCGGGAGAUAGCUGGUUCUCCCCGAAAGCUAUUUAGGUAGCGCCUCGUGAAUUCAUCUCCGGGGGUAGAGCACUGUUUCGGCUAGGGGGCCAUCCCGGCUUACCAACCCGAUGCAAACUGCGAAUACCGGAGAAUGUUAUCACGGGAGACACACGGCGGGUGCUAACGUCCGUCGUGAAGAGGGAAACAACCCAGACCGCCAGCUAAGGUCCCAAAGUCAUGGUUAAGUGGGAAACGAUGUGGGAAGGCCCAGACAGCCAGGAUGUUGGCUUAGAAGCAGCCAUCAUUUAAAGAAAGCGUAAUAGCUCACUGGUCGAGUCGGCCUGCGCGGAAGAUGUAACGGGGCUAAACCAUGCACCGAAGCUGCGGCAGCGACGCUUAUGCGUUGUUGGGUAGGGGAGCGUUCUGUAAGCCUGCGAAG
rnacentral:rRNA from 1 species